CCAGAACCCUGAGAUCAUGACCUGAGCUGAAGGCAGACACUUAACCAACUGAGCCAUCCAGAUGAAUCAUAGAAGUGCAAAGAAUAAACCUGCAAUGAGGCUGCACGGAGGACAAGGCAGAUAUUUCACCUGUGUGUCAGGGAGAUGCAUCUGAAGUCCUAUGGAAGAAGAUGUUUUUCAGGUUGGCAAUCUGUGGAACACUGGGUUUGCUGCUUUGUAUGCCUCUAUGACCUCAUAACUCCAGAACGUCUCUUGUCAUCAGUUGAUGCCACACAUUUAGCUCCCCAAUAAGCCACAUCACCAGAUCACCAGUACCCACAGUCCAGGAUCUGGGCUUUAUGGUGUUUGCUGUAUCACCUCCUGGGCACUCUCCCCUUACCUAUGCCUGGACUGCAGGCCAAAAAGUUGUUUAAUUAUUUCAGUCAAUAGCAAGUUCCUCCAGGGUAAAGACUGAGUCUGAGUUCCCUAUAGACCUGUAUAUCCAUCUGUCCAUCGGAGAUGUCCAUAUGGGUGUCCCACAAGCACAUCACCAUGUCCAAAGCUGAACCCAUGUAAAGCACCCCAUCUGAGUGUUCACCUAGCACCCAAGACUCUAUCAUUGCAUCUUGUAUAUUAGAUUAUAGUUUCCUGUUUAUGAGCAUAUAUCACUAGUUUGCGAGAAGCUGAGGGCAGAAAUCAUGUGAAUUUUAUUUAUCAUUGCAUUGCUGGAGCCCAGCGCAGUGCCUCCAUACAGGAGCUAUUCAAUAAAUGUUCAAUGAUCUGAA